rnacentral:rRNA from 1 species
UUACAGUGAAGAGUUUGAUCCUGGCUCAGGAUGAACG